AAAUCUGUAUCAUUUACCACUUAACGUCUCCUGUCGAGCCUGGUGCAUUUCUCUCUCGUGGCUGAUGACAGGCUGUGUGUCAGAAACCGGUGAGACCAGAAUGUUGGUCACCUCCGAGAUGGAGCUAGGUAAAAGGAUGCCACGAAGAAAGAAAAAAAUUAAAGAAGCCUCCGAAGGUCAGAACCUCGAGAAGAAGGAUCUGGAAACCACCAGUUCUGUCAGUAUAAAAAAGAAGCGUCGACUGGAGGACUUAUUCAUAGUGAUAUCUGAUAGUGAUGGAGAGGAAACAAAAGAGGAAAAUGGAUUACAGAAAAUGAAGACAAAACAGUCAAACAGAUCAAAGUGUUUGGCUAAAAGAAAAAUUGCACAGAUGUCAGAAGAAGAACAAUUUGCUUUGGCUCUCAAAAUGAGUGAGCAGGAAGCUAAGGAGGUGAACAACCAGGAGGAGAAAGAAGAAGAGCUCUUGAGGAAAGCCAUUGCUGAAAGCCUGAAUAGUCGCUGGUCUUCUGACGCUUCUGCUGCCAGACCCCGACCUCUGUCUACUGGGCCGUCCUCACAUCCCCAUCAAGACAGCACCAAAGAUUCUGGAACCACUGAAGGCAUAUGGCAGCUGGCACCUCCAUCACUGUGCAAAGGCUCACAGAUCAGUCAGGGAAACGAGGCUGAGGAAGGAAAGGAGCCCUGGGACCACAGUGAAAACCCUGAAGAGGAGCCGCUCUCUGGCAGCUCAGGAAGCCAGGACCAGUCAAGCCGGCCAGUGUUUGAGAAUGAGAAGGUUAAAUGUUUUGACAGAUGUACUGGCCACUUGGCUGAGCACACACAGUGUGGGAAGCCACAGGAAAGUACUGGGAGUGGUUGUGCUUUUCCCAAAGCUGUUCAGGGUAGGGGGGACACGUCUAGGCAAUGCCUUCCUACCCCAGCAGACACCAAAGGCCUCCAGGACAUUGGGGGCACAGUGCACUACUACUGGGGUGUUCCAUUCUGCCCUGCUGGAGUAGACCCUGAUCAAUACACCAGUGUCAUUCUGUGCCAGUUGGAGGUGUAUCAGAAGAGCUUGAAAAUGGCUCAGAGACAGCUUGUUAAAAAAAGAGGGUUUGGGGAACCAGUGUUACCUAGACCUCCUUUUCUGAUCCAGAAUGAAUGUGGCCAAGAAGAGCAGACUAGUGAAAAGCAUGAAGGCCUCUCAGAAGAUGUGAGAGCUGGAGCCAGGGAGGAAAGGCAGGGCUCUGGGGCAUCUGUCUGGCACUCAGAAACCAAGGAUUCUCAAAAAAGUCCCAUUACAAGCUUGAAGCAGAGACUUUUGUUGGAGGAAGAACCAACAACCGGUCGUGGUCAGUCUUCCCAAGGUCUGUUUGUUGAAGAAACUUCUGAAGAAGUUCUGAAGAGUUCUGAAGGAGACGACGCUGUGCCUGCCUCACAAAGCAUUGCAGUUUUGACCAGUAAGAGAGAUUUAGUUCUUAUGCCGGAAGCUUCUACAGAAGAAGUCACUGUUUGUCCUGAGACACAGUUAAGUUCCUUUGAGCCCCUUGACCUGAAUGGAGAAGACUCUGUAGAUGGCAGAGAGAUCCCCACUGAACUAGGAAUGACAGUGAGUAAUAGGCAGGUUGAUAAUAGGGAAGCUGGUAAGGACAGUCGUCCUCCUGCAGUCUCGGCUAGUGCCAGGGUGUCCUGCCCACUGUGUAACCAAGACUUCCCUCCCACAAAGAUUGAGCAGCAUGCCAUGUACUGCACUGGCCUGAUGGAGCCGGAAACAGGUGAGAACCCAGCCCGACAGCCUGCCUGCUUUUGUUUGUUUUGCUAUGAGAUAGGGUUUUACUGUGUAGCCUUGGCUGGCCUGGAACUUACUCUGUAGACCAGGCUGGCCUUGUAUUCAGAGAUCCUCCUGCCUUUGCAUCCAGAUGCUGGGGUUAAAGGCAUGAAUCAGCUACCCAGCCGACAGUAUCAUGGCUAACUUCUUUGCACGGUACUUUUAUAAUCCUAUACAAUACAGUACAAGAGCUCUUUGUUCAAAGUUGCUGUUGUUUAUAUUUAGUUAGUUUUCUAGUACAUUCGUGAUCCUUGUCCUUAAUAGGUAGGCAUGUUACCCAGUACCAAGUUCUCGGGAGAAGGUAAAGGGAAAAAGCCUUUGCUCGUUCCUGUGAAUAGCUGAAAAGCCAAUACAAUGCAGUAGGCCUUAACGUCUUUAAAUAUUGAGAUUCCUAAGGAACUUGAAGCUUAAGUUCUAGAGUGGCCCUUUUUUUAAUUUAAAAUAAAUCUCUUGGUGACUUAUUUCAAUGGACAUUCUACCUAGAGACAGCUAUUAAAAAUAUUCCUAAUUUAUAUUUCUGUCCUAUAUGCAUCUGCUGAAUUAUACUGAAAUUAAUGUGUUAACUUUAUAAGAUUAUCCAGUGUAGGGGUUGGGGAUUUAGCUCAGUGGUAGAGCGCUUGCCUAGCAAGCGCAAGGCCUGGGUUCGGUCCCCAGCUCCGAAAAAAAGAAAAGAAAAGAAAAGAAAAAAAAAAAAAGAUUAUCCAGUGUGAGAUGUUGGCCAAGAAAAUAUUUUUGUUAAUUGUACCCCUUGAUGUAUAACACCUGGAUUCUGCCUUUCUGCCUAGCAUUUUAACCUCUAUCCAGUAAGAUCAUGUCCGCAGGCUAGUUCUCCCAGAGCCUACAUGUAAGUGACAUGUAAGCCUUAGGAAACUGGAGUGCUGCAAGCUUCUUCAUGCUACUUGGCUUUUAUAACUUAGAAUAUUUAACUUAGAAACUGUAUUUGUGGAAUGUUUUACGUUAAAAUGAUCAGAAAGGACCCUUGGCUCAGUCGCAGCGGUGAUGCAUGAUCUGACAUCCAGCCAUCUAUGGCCCUGAAGCCUCAGGAGUGCCCUUUUCAAAGUAACUGGGGUAGGUUAGUAUUGUGUUGGAUUUCUUUGCUUACCACCCAUGUCAUAAUUGUCAGUGAUCCCAGGGCAGGUAAAGUGGCCAGUGGGUAAGGGGAACUGCUACCAGGCCUGACGGUGUUGGGGACGUUUAGUGCGCUGUGGGUUCAAAUGUGGACUUCUGGACACAGGUCUGCUGCAGGCCAGGCGUCAGGGUUGCCAUUCUCUAGUAAGGAGCAGUUCCAACUUGGUACACACUGCUCUCCAUCACCCUCUGAUUGGCUAAAUAAAGAGCUGGAUAGCCAAUAGCUGGGCAGCAGAGGAAAAGGCAGGACUUCUGGGCUCAAAGAGGGAGGGGAGGGGAGGAGAGAGAGAGACAUGGACACAGAGAGAGGAGGAGCAGCCAGGGUGAAGCUCAGAUGCCGGUAACAGGCCACAUGGUGGGAGGAGGCCAAGCCAGCAUAGUCGGCUGUGUCAGCAUAACCUCAGCUGCUCAGAGUCUGCCCAGCGAUUGCACCUAAGCUUGUAAUUAGUCUCCAUGCCACUAUUUGGAGCAAGGGCAGGCACAGGAAACAGUACUCUUACAUGAUAGCCUACUUCUGACCCCCGAGCCCCACAUAUGUAGGGGCUACAAGAGGGCAUUGAGUGCCCGCUCCUGUAUGAACAUGAGGCUCACGUUUUCUCAGCUCGACUCAAUUUCAGCCACUGAUCCUCCGGUCUCACUCUGACCAGAGACGGGCUUACAGGCUUGUGCGGGACAACCAGCCUGUUCCAUGCACACUGUGUACUGGGCGUCACAGUGAACACUGUCAAUCACAAAGCCAUCUCCAGCCUCUGGAGCACUUAAAGAAAUUGUUGGUAAGCCUUUUAUGUGGGUUACUGGAGAAGUUUUAAAACAAGGUUUUUGCUACCAAGGGGAUUGUGCUCUUACUGGGAAAGUAAAUUUUUCCUCAGCAAAGUAAUUACAGUUGUUUAGAGUAAAUGUCCCUGCAAAAAUGAGUACAGUGGAGAAAGGAGGGCAGUGAGCUGGGAUCAUGUCCUAGAGACCCUGGGUCAUAGCCUAGACUAUGAAAGCUGCCAUUUUAGGCCUUGUAGAACAGAGUUCUCACUGACACCAUCCCAUAGUCGGCUUACUUCUGUUGUCUUGCAGAACCGUUAGGGUCUAGGUGGACUGGGCAAGUUGGGAAGUAGGGGAAACGCUUUAGUGUGUGUGGCCUUUACCUGGUUCUCAGCAAAUCUCAUCUCUUAGUUUCUGCCAGCUUGUUUGUACCCACAGCGUCCUUGUUAGAGGCAGAAAUUAGCGAUGGUUCUUGUUCCUCUCAAUAUAAUUUCUAAAUCUUGGAUAGCGGGCUUCUCAAACAUCCCCAAAGAGGGAAUGCUUCCCAUCUUGAGAAUGGGAAUCAGCCACAAAAUGGAGCCCAGAGACCAUUUGUCUAAUUCCCAAGGAGUAGAGUAAGAGAGUUCUUACCUCUCAGAGUUAAGUACCCAGGUUCCUCCCUCCCUCCCUCUGUGUCUCCCUGAAGCUGAUCUAGGCAUGCUUGGUUUGACUGUGUAGCAGGAAUCGUAAUUAGCAUCAUUUACAUGGAAUGUCUGCCAUUUAUGCCUAGUUACCGUGCAGCACAAUAACAGUUAUGCAUGUCAUUAAAGAUGUGUCUGAUUAACUCUGCUGUAAGUUUUAUUUGAUUACAAUAAUACAUUGUGGUUAAGCUAGCUAUGUGCUCAGUUUAUUCAGUAACAUGGCUAUCUGAUCAGAACUAUAAAAAAAUAGAAUGUUCUUUAAAAGGAUUGUUUGUGGGGGAUAAGAUUCGCUGCAGUGUUCUAGACUAGGAGAAGACUGAACUGCUUUUGUAUUUAUUUUCUGGAAAAUAUAUUGGAGAUGAUUUUACAUAAAUACUUAGGCAAAAUAAAGCUCCCUACUCACUCAGUAAGUAUGCAUUUAUGCCUACUGUAUAUCAGGUAGACUGGACUAAGAAGCCACUCUCUUGCGGAGUGUACAUUCUGCUGGCAGAAGCUGUGAAUGGAAAGUCUAAGAAUCCAGUAGUCCAUCAGUCCACAGGCGGAUGUCCCAGCUGGUCUUCAGUCUGUGCUGGAAUCCUGAAGAAGUAGGCUCUGACGCCAGUGAAGGAAUAGAUGUGCUGGCAAGGCAAA